CCUACGGGAGGCUGCAGUGGGGAAUAUUGGACAAUGGGCGAAAGCCUGAUCCAGCCAUGCCGCGUGUGUGAAGAAGGCCUUCGGGUUGUAAAGCACUUUCAGUGGGGAAGAAAGCCUUGGGGCUAAUACCCUCGAGGAAGGACAUCACCCACAGAAGAAGCACCGGCUAACUCCGUGCCAGUAGCCGCGGUAAUACGGAGGGUGCGAGCGUUAAUCGGAAUUACUGGGCGUAAAGCGCGCGUAGGCGGUCUGAUAAGCCGGUUGUGAAAGCCCCGGGCUCAACCUGGGAACGGCAUCCGGAACUGUCAGGCUAGAGUGCAGGAGAGGAAGGUAGAAUUCCCGGUGUAGCGGUGAAAUGCGUAGAGAUCGGGAGGAAUACCAGUGGCGAAGGCGGCCUUCUGGACUGACACUGACGCUGAGGUGCGAAAGCGUGGGUAGCAAACAGGAUUAGAUACCCUAGUAGUC
rnacentral:rRNA from 1 species